UCUCCGUAGGUGAACCUGCGGAGGGAUCAUUACUGAGUGAGGGUUUAACCGCCCGACCUCCAACCCUUUGUGAAUCGUACUCGUUGCUUCGGGGGCGACCCUGCCGUUCGGCGCGGCGCCCCCGGAGGCUCAUCAAACACUGCAUCUCUGCGUCGGAGUAUUAGUAAAUCUAAUCAAAACUUUCAACAACGGAUCUCUUGGUUCUGGCAUCGAUGAAGAACGCAGC
rnacentral:misc_RNA from 1 species